rnacentral:rRNA from 1 species
GUCUAGCCUGCCCAGUGACAUUGUUCAACGGCCGCGGUAUCCUAACCGUGCGAAGGUAGCGUAAUCACUUGUUCUUUAAAUGAGGACUAGUAUGAACGGCUUCACGAGGGCUAUACUGUCUCCUUUUUCUAAUCAAUGAAACUAAUCUCCUCGUGAAGAAGCGAGGAUACACUUAUAAGACGAGAAGACCCUAUGGAGCUUUAAACAAUUGAAAUACUUGCUUACAACUUUCAUUCUUCCCGAAAACAUUACUCAAUUAAGCAUUUUAUUCAUAGUUUUAGGUUGGGGUGACCACGGAGUAUAAAUUCACCUCCAUGCUGAAAGAAGUUUUUCUUCUUAUCAAAGAGCUUCAGCUCAAUGCAUCAAUAAAUUGACUCCCAUUGACCCAAUAUUUUUGAUCAACGAACCAAGUUACCCUAGGGAUAACAGCGCAAUCUAUUUCAAGAGCUCAUAUCGACAAAUAGGUUUACGACCUCGAUGUUGGAUCAGGGUAUCCUAGUGGUGCAGCCGCUACUGACGGUUCGUUUGUUCAACGAUUAAAACCCUACGUGAUCUGAGU